AUGCUCUGGUUUCUCUUCAGAACGAACAAAUCUAUCGCCUUUUACUAAAGGUUUCCAUGAAGAGGAGAAAAACUAAGUUUUGGCUCAAAUAUGCUUAAUGGGGUUACAUAAUCUCAG